UCCGAGUUGACCCCGGCAGUCUCCCAUGAGUCCCCGCCAUUACGCGCUGGCAACAUGGAACGAGGGUUGCGCUCGUUGCGGGACUUAACCCAACAUCUCACGACACGAGCUGACGACAGCCAUGCACCACCUGUAUACCGACCACAAGGGGGGCCGUAUCUCUACGGCUUUCCGGUAUAUGUCAAACCCAGGUAAGGUGGGGAUGACGUUGACGUCAUAACC
rnacentral:misc_RNA from 1 species